GCUAUUGGUCAAGGGUUGAUUUUCCCUUCCAACAUGGUGGCCAUCAACACAUACUUCCACAAGUGCUGACAUGGCCUGCUACUUGUAGGAAAGGCGGCUGACGAGCGAGGCAAAGGACAAGUUGAUGUGUCGUCUGCAAACAAAUCUCUCUUCAGUGCUUUUAAAAACUGUUGCAUGUCAUUUAAAGGAGAACUAUGCUGAAAUAAACUAAAUGAAAAACCUAA